rnacentral:rRNA from 1 species
UACGUAGGGUGCAAGCGUUAAUCGGAAUUACUGGGCGUAAAGCGUGCGCAGGCGGUGAUGUAAGACAGGUGUGAAAUCCCCGGGCUUAACCUGGGAACUGCAUUUGUGACUGCAUCGCUGGAGUGCGGCAGAGGGGGGAUGGAAUUCCGCGUGUAGCAGUGAAAUGCGUAGAUAUGCGGAGGAACACCGAUGGCGGAAGGCAAUCCCCUGGGCCUGCACUGACGCUCAUGCACGAAAGCGUGGGGAGCAAACAGG